UGUGUCACCUGUUGAUAUUAAACAUACAUGACUGGAGGGGUUUGGGCGAGUCCCCCGCUCCGGUGACAGCGGCAGGUGGGGAGUUUGACAGGGGCGGUGCACCUGUCAAAGCCUAACGCAGGUGUCCUAAGGCGAGCUCAGGGAGGAUGGAAACCUCCCAUGGAGCAGAAGGGCAAAAGCUCGCUUGAUCUUGAUCAAGUGAGGGGUGUUGAGUGGGUCUAGUCCCCUCCCAGCCGCACUGGGCAGCCCCUCACUGGGACAGCACG
rnacentral:ncRNA from 1 species